UACAGAGGUCUCAAGCGUUGUUCGGAUUCAUUGGGCGUAAAGGGUGCGUAGGCGGCGCGGUAAGUCGGGUGUGAAAUCUCGGGGCUUAACUCCGAAACUGCAUUCGAUACUGCCGUGCUUGAGGACUGGAGAGGAGACUGGAAUUUACGGUGUAGCGGUGAAAUGCGCAGAUAUCAGGAGGAACACCGAUUGCGAAGGCAGCUCGCUGGGACGUCACUGACGCUGAGACGCGAAAGCGUGGGGAGCAAACAGG
rnacentral:rRNA from 1 species